rnacentral:rRNA from 1 species
ACCUACCCUUGACAUGUACGGAAGUCCGCCGAGAGGUGGAUGUGCCCGAAAGGGAGCCGUAACACAGGUGCUGCAUGGCUGUCGUCAGCUCGUGUCGUGAGAUGUUGGGUUAAGUCCCGCAACGAGCGCAACCCUUGUCCCUAGUUGCUACGCAAGAGCACUCCAGGGAGACUGCCGGUGACAAACCGGAGGAAGGUGGGGAUGACGUCAAGUCCUCAUGGCCCUUAUGGGUAGGGCUUCACACGUCAUACAAUGGUCGGUACAGAGGGUUGCCAAGCCGCGAGGUGGAGCCAAUCCCAGAACCCCCUCUUAGUCCGGAUCGCAGUCUGCAACUCGACUGCGUGAAGCUGGAAUCGCUAGUAAUCGCGGA